rnacentral:rRNA from 1 species
UACGUAGGGGGCAAGCGUUUGUCCGGAUUUAUUGGGCGUAAAGAGCGUGUAGGCGGUUCGGUAGGUCCGUUGUGAAAACUCGAGCUCAACCUCGAGACGCCGAUGGAAACCCUCGAACUAGAGUCCGGAAGAGGAGAGUGGAAUUCCUGGUGUAGCGGUGAAAUGCGCAGAUAUCAGGAAGAACACCCGUGGCUAAGGCGGCUCUCUAGUACGGUACUGACGCUGAGACGCGAAAGCGUGGGGAGCGAACAGG